rnacentral:tRNA from 1 species
GGAAAUUAUAAUAGUUUAGUGGUUAGAGUAUUAGUUUCCAAUUCUAAAAUCCCGAGUUCGAAUCCUGGCAGGUGACAAUUUUCA